UACGUAGGGGGCAAGCGUUGUCCGGAUUUAUUGGGCGUAAAGAGCGUGUAGGCGGCUAGGUAGGUCCGUUGUGAAAACUCGAGGCUCAACCUCGAGAUGUCGAUGGAAACCGUCUGGCUAGAGUCCGGAAGAGGAGUGUGGAAUUCCUGGUGUAGCGGUGAAAUGCGCAGAUAUCAGGAAGAACACCUAUGGCGAAGGCAGCACUCUGGGACGGUACUGACGCUGAGACGCGAAAGCGUGGGGAGCGAACAGG
rnacentral:rRNA from 1 species